UCAUGAAGCCCUGGAGCAGCAAACCAUUUCCAUUGCCAAAGCAGGAAUAACGACUGUUCUAAAUUCUAGAACCUCUGUGCUGGCAGCAGCUAAUCCUCCAUCUAGACGUUAUGAUGAUCUCAAGACUGCUCAAGACAAUAUUGAUUUGCAGACUACUAUUCUUUUGAGAUUUGAUUUAAUCUUCAUUGUGAAAGAUAUCAGGCUGUAUAGUCAAGACAAGAGUAUAGCUAGCCAUAUAAUCAAAGUUCAUGCCUCUGCUGGUGCAACAACAGGUGACACUAGAGUUUCUAAAGAAGAUAACUGGCUGAAAAGGUACAA